rnacentral:rRNA from 1 species
AUGGCGGACAUGGCAUAUUCGGAACGAGGUUGUUCAUCACAAGCCGCCGCCACCUAUGGAAGCUUCCAGACGUUUUUUGCUGGUGCUGGUAUAGUUUUGCGAGAUGAGAAGGGUGCUAUUAUUUUUUCUUCAUGCAGACAACUAUUUUCAUGCCGUGAUUCUAUAGAAGCUGAAUUGUGUGCUUGUAUGGAAGGCCUUUCAUUGGCUAUCCAACGAAGUGAUCUUCCAAUCAUGAUUGAGAUGGAUUCUUUUGUUGCAGUGAAGCUAAUCCAGGCCAAGGAGGUGGAUAGAUCUAUUUAUGCGUCGCUCAUUAAAGAGAUUAGAUAUCUUUUGUCUCUCCGUGAAUCUUGUAUUACUCAUAUCAAUCGUAGCCAGAAUAAGGUUAGUGAUAGCUUAGCUAAGUUUGCUCGUUUAGAGGGCAGAACCAUGACUUGGAUUGGAUCAUGGCCUUCAGUUGCUACAGAACUUUCUACGAUUGAUUAUGACAUGACCACCACUCCAUAUCAACAACCACCUUUUUUUGAGAAUCAACAACCACCUUUUCUUUUUGACCAUUUGUCAACAGCCACCUUGUUGGGCCGGGGAGCUCGCUUUGCAAAAAACUUGUCCAUGGGCUGGCAGUGGAAGGCCUAUUCAACGUGCAUGGAUGUCGACGAGGCCGGAAGCAUGGUGUUUGUUUAG